AGUGAACGCUGGCGGUAGGCCUAACACACGCAAGUCGAACGGCAGCACAGUAAGAGCUUGCUCUUACGGGUGGCGAGUGGUGGACGGGUGAGGAAUACAUCGGUAUCUACUUUUUCGUGGGGGAUAACGUAGGGAAACUUACGCUAAUACCGCAUACGACCUACGGGUGAAAGCAGGGGAUCUUCGGACCUUGCGCGAUUGAAUGAGCCGAUGUCGGAUUAGCUAGUUGGCGGGGUAAAGGCCCACCAAGGCGACGAUCCGUAGCUGGUCUGAGAGGAUGAUCAGCCACACUGGAACUGAGACACGGUCCAGACUCCUACGGGAGGCAGCAGUGGGGAAUAUUGGACAAUGGGCGCAAGCCUGAUCCAGCCAUACCGCGUGGGUGAAGAAGGCCUUCGGGUUGUAAAGCACUUUUGUUGGGAAAGAAAAGCAGCAGGUUAAUACCCCGCUGUUCUGACGGUACCCAAAGAAUAAGCACCGGCUAACUUCGUG
rnacentral:rRNA from 1 species